UCAACUUCUCGGCCUUUUGGCUCCAGAUCAGUGUAGUAUCUGUUCUUAUCAGUUUAAUAUCUGAUCCGUCCCCCAUCGGGGGACUACAUAUUAAAUGGAUUUUUCGAACAGGGAGUCGGAAAUGGGGCUUGCUCCGUCCGCUCCACGCAUCGACCGUAUUGCAGUACCUCGGGAAUGGUGCAACACUU
rnacentral:snRNA from 1 species